rnacentral:rRNA from 1 species
AAGCAGUAACAAGGAAACCGUAGGUGAACUGCGGAAGGAUCAUUA